rnacentral:lncRNA from 1 species
GGGCGGCCCGGCCUGGCUCAGCCCGAUAGCCCACCUAAAAUUUAGGAGGAUUUGGGUAAAAAUAUAGACCCAAAAUAUGGGAUUGGGUAGAAAAAGAAACCCGUUUAAAAAACGGGUUGGGCCUCGGGCAAAAUUUUUUUGGCCCGGCCCGGCCCGGCCCGAAAAUAUAUUAAAUAUAUAUUUUUUAAUUUAUUAUUACAUUUACAUUUUACAUUUCCCAUUUCCCCUCCUUAUUUUCCCGACCCCGUUUAGACUUCAGAUACAAAUCCCUAAUCCCUUCCCUUCUCCCUUUUUUUCCUCCAAAUCGAAAACUCACCUCCACCGAUCCACCAUCUCACCUUCAGUGUUCGGUCCUCCAUGACUCCACCUCUACAACUCUAGCAGAAUUUGACCAAAAUUUAAGCAUUUUACUAGGUGGCGUUGUUGUUCUCUUCAGUUCGAUUCUUCUGCAACUUCCGACCCAAACCCUUCAAAUCAACAAGUUCAAGGUAACAUGCUUCGAUUCUUCUUCACUUUAGUUUUCAUUUCAAUUGAAAUUUUCGAGCUUUACAUUUUAAUCAUGUACUUAAGAGAAGGCCGCUCUUUAUUGCUGAGUUUAGUGACGGUGACAUGCUUCGAUUUUUAACUAUUUGUUGCCAUGUUUUCCACCAAGAAUGCAUUGAUCAUUGGCUUGAAUCACUUAAAAGAUGCCCAGUUUGUCGUUAAGAGUUAGAUGUGACUAGUAAAUCAAUAGUAAAUCCCUCAAAUCUCUAAAAUCUCAAGUUUUACAGGUUAGAACAUUUCCCCCUUUUUUGUAAUAUUCUUUACUUUUUAUUGAUUCUUUUGUUUCAAUUUCCUGUUAUGAGUGUUUUAUUGAUUGUUUUAUUAUGUUUGUUUUGAUCUGAUCUUAUCGUUUUGGUGAUUGUUGUUGAACAGGUGAUCGGGGAUUUUGAUCUCAAAGAGUUCAUCAUGUUUAAUCGACAGUUCAGGAAACCUAAGCAGGAAACAAAUGCUCUAACCACGUUAGAAAAAUUAAACGAGGUGUAGUAUUUGAUUUUCUUUUAUUUUUUCACUUUAAUUGGCAAACCAGUUAUUUAUUUUUGUAUUUCUCUUGCUUUGUUUGAGUUCAAAAACUUUUGCAAUAAAUGUAACAGUUUUUUGCAAUAUAUGGAAUUCAUUUGUUAUACUUAAAGAACAACUUAUCUAGUAUUGUUAUUUAGUUGAAGAGAAGGGUUUCAAAGAUAAAAGGAAUGAAUAUCUUUUUGAUCGUGUAUACAUAUUCCUUGCUGAUCUCGCUAAAAGUUGAUGCUAUGAUGGACUGUGAUCUUUUCUGUAUUUAAAAGUUUGGUUAUAUUGGUUGUGUAUUAGGGAUAAUUUCAAAAUUUUAAGAAUAUUAAUUUUAGUGAUUUUUAUUUCGUCUGGUGCUACAAAAUGCAAAUUGCAGUCUAUAUUCGUUUCCACUGAAUGACUUACAUUGCUUCUUUCUACUUUUUUUUUAUUUUUUUAAUUUUAAAAUAUUUUUAAAAUACUUUUUUAAAAUUUUUGGUAUUUAUUAAAAAAUGGGCCGGGCUGGGCUGGGCUGGGCUUAUGAUUUUUUCCUGGGUCGGGCCUGGGCAAAAUUUUAGGCCCAUAUUUCGGUUCGGGCCGGGUCCGGGCCAAAAAUUUUCACUGGGCCCGGCUCCAAACCCAGCCCGGCCCAUGAGCACCUCUACUCCACAAUUCACUUACGUCUAAAUUUUAUAGGAAUUUGAUAUGAGAAAUCUAUUCGUUAAGCAUGUAUAAUUAGGAGUGUGUCGUUAAAACCAAUUUAACCGAUUAAAUCAAACUAAUUCAAUUAAUCGGUUGAUUAAUUGAUCUAAUUCGGGAUAGAAGUCAAUUAAUAAUUGUUUAAAAGUUUAGUUAACAGUUAAUUCGGUUCAAAAUCAAUUAAUUAACUAAAAUUAAUAAUUAAUAUUAUAUAUUAACCAGCUGGCCACUACCCAUCCAGACCUAGGCCCCAAACAUUAACCCACUUUCAAAUAAAUCCAAUCAACUAAAAAUAAACUCAAACACUAACCCAAGCCCCAAAUAUAAAAUUUUAAUUCCUCCUAAACCUAAAAAUAAUGCACACGGUAAUACAUCGACCACUAGAUCCCAAAAUCUCACAGAUUCAAAAAUCCCUAACCCUAAUAAAAAAUCCCUAAUUUAAAAUCUCCAAAGUCUCAAAAUCCCCACUGUUAGUCACCACCAUCCGACGUCCACCAGUCACACCAUUCGGCAUACACCACGUCACCAUCAUCGCUUGACGUUCGUCUGCCAUCAAUUUCGGUUUCACCCAAAAUCCCUAAUAGAAAAUUUCUCAAAAUCCCUAACCCAUCAUAGUGACCAAUGACGCACCUACGAUUUCGACUUCACUCACCAUCGUCCGACACUCACCUUGAAUUUUUUUCAGGUAUUUUUUUUACUGAAAUGGAUUUUUCUUCUACUUUUUUAUGAAAAAAUUUUCAUUCUUCGAUAUUUCUGCAAUUUUGUUGUUGCUUCUUUGUUCUCAACAUGUGUUUGUGAAUGUAAUUUAGUAGAAAGGUUAGACCAUAUCUGCUGCUUCUUUGCUCUGCUGCUUCCUUGUUUUGCAAUUCUUGGAUUUUUCACAUCAGCAAGUUACUGACCAUGCACCUGAAAUACAAAUCGAAACUUUACAUUCAUCUUUGGAUGCAUUCCCAGUUCUAAUGAUAAUAAUAAUCCAAUGUUGAUUUCAUACUAUAAUGUAUUGAAAUAAAUGCAUAAUAUUAUCUAAAAUACAUUCAAAACAUUGAAAAAAAUGAUAAACAAACUUUGCCAAGUUAGAAGAUAAAUAAAAUGCUCUGGAAAAAAUUCGGUUAAUUCAGUUAACCAACUAAAUUAACCGAAAUAUUUCGGUUUGGUUAACUUUUUUUGAAAAAAUUUUGGUUCGGCUAACGGUUAAAGGAUUAAAAAGUUUGGCUAAUUUAGUUAAUGGUAGUUCGAUUCGGUUAACCGAUUGUUUAACUGUUUGAACACCUCUAUGUAUAUUUAAAACUAGUUCCCAUUCAAGGGUUUAAUAUAUAUAUAAUUAUUUGAAAUACAAUAUAUUUUUAUAAUAUUUUAACUAUAUUUUGUAUAUAUAAAUAAAGAUGGUAGAAGAUAAAUAUAUUUUAAUAAAAUAUAUAGAGAGGUGAAAUUAUAAACAUAACAUUAAAAUAUAAAUAUUCUUUUUUAUGUUUAAAUGUAUGCAUAUAAAUUAGUAAUUUAAAUAAAACCUAGUAAUUUUUUAGAUUUAAUUGAAAAUAUUUAAUAAUAAAUAAUUUUAAAUAUAAUUAUUUUUAAUAUUUUUAAUAAUAAAUAGUAUUGAUAUUAAAGAAUUUUUAAAAUGAAAAUCACAUUAAUCAUUUGUCAAAUAUAUAUAUACUUACUAUUAUUAAAUUCUUGACUGAGUUGGUAUCAUGAGUCAAUCGGACACCAACUCUGUAACUACCCGAUUUUUAAUAGUGUCAAAAAAGCCGGUUUUGGAACCCUAUUAUCAUAAAUUGGGUUCGUAAAUAUUAAAUUAAAUUUUUUACAGAGUUGGUAUAAAAGACAAUUAAAGUUUUUUCAUUCAAAAUUUUCUUUUAAUUGUUUAAUUUAGGUACAAGGACUAAAUUAUAAAAGUUUUAUCGUUAUAGGUUUUUAACUGACCGAAAACUUAAGGACUUAAUUUGCAACUAGACAAGGGUUUUCAAUGGCAAUUGAACCAUUUCUUAAUAUGAAAUAGUGGGAAUGAUGUAAUAGUCCCCUGAGUAUAAAUAGAUUAAGCUUAAUCUUAAACCUAUUUAAUUAAAUGUUAAUCUAUGUAUAAAAGCUACAAAUUAGUCUAAUUUUCAUAUCUUCUUCAUUCUUUUAUUUGGCCAAGACUUGAAAACCUAAGAAAAAUCAUUUUUGAAGCUCAAGUUAUUCGGUCCUUCAAUUGGUAAGUGUUUUCAAGCUCUUUUCUUAUAAUUUUUAUAUUUUGAAGGCCAUGAGAGCUUGAUUUAGCUAGCCCAUGUAUCAAUUUGACAAAUUAUUAAAGUUUUUUAAAGUUGCCAUUGUUGAUUUUUUGAAGAAAUUGGUGUUAAAUUGAUAGAUUUUAAGCUUAGAUAUGAAAAAAGAACUAGAUUGUAAAGAUUAAUUAUUAGUUUUGUUCAUAAGGACUAAAGUGAAUAAAAUGUAAAUUUUAUGAGAAAUUUUGGUAGCAAUAGAUAUUAGAAGGUCCCUAAAGGAUGUAAUUAUACCUUUAAACUGAAGCUUAAAAUUAAAAGUUAUGGCUAUUUCAGUUUUAGGGGCUAAAUUGAAUAAAAUGUAAAACUUUAAGGGUAUUGAAAAAUAAAGUUUCAUAGGUUCAUUCAUAUCAUGAAAUAGUGUAUAAAUAUUUGGUAUUGAUAAAUUGAAUGAAAUAAUUGCAUAGAUUGGGAAUUGAAUCAAACCGGAGAUAAUCAGGGAAAAACAAGAAUUAUCGAUUAGUCCUUAAAUAUUUGUUUUGUUUAAUGUUUUUGCCAGGUAAGUUCAUAUGGAACUUACUAUUUUAUUUGAUGCUAUGUUGAAUUGUGUCAUGCCCUCAUUUGACGAGCCAGUACUAUUUAAGAAACUAUGCUGGCGAAGACCGCCUAAGUCGCGAGACAGAGACAUGAUAAGGCUGGUAACUUCGUGGUGAAGUACUUCGUUGAACUUCAUCGAUACUGUAGAGUUCCACUCCACGAAUUGAUGAGUUCUUUGUAGUGGCAAGAACCUUAUUAGAAGGACUAUCCCGCUAAUAAAUCUGCCACCUGUGUUUUUGUAACACCCUAUACCUAGCUCGAUCACCAAGCCCAAAAUUAGGAUGUCACAUCACUGUCACACAUCAUAUGCAUUACAAAUGGUCUCGUUAUUAAGCAACUGUCAUCCAUCUUAGCUUUUGUAAUAAUUAUAAGUCAUACAUAUCCCAGUCAUCAAUAAAACAUGCUAAACAUUCAUCAAGCAAACUUAAAACGAGAAUUAAACAUGCAUUAGAACCACAUAGCAAAAUUUUAGAAAAAAUCACGUAGGUAUCAAUACUGAAUCAUAGGUAUCGAUAUUUCUCUCAAAAGGUAUCGAUAUUUCUUGGAAAAUCGAUACCAAAACAACAUUAUGUUUCUCGUUUAAAAUCCAAACCUCAGAAGUUAUUGGUAUCUUUCAUAAAGUAUUGAUUAUUUCACCCCGAGUAUCGAUACUAGUGAUGUGGUAUCGAUACCAAAUUACGUUACUGACUUCCUACACUUUCAAAAAUCACGGAGGUAUCAUUUCUAAAACCUGAAUAUUGAUACAUCUGCUUUAGGCCACAAAAAUACAACAUAUUCAAGAAUUUAGAUCAUUCUAACUUAUACCAAUACAACAUGUAACUAUUACGUUAUCAAAAGAACAUCAAAACAUCCAUAUUAAUAGUUCAAAGCAUCGUAGAAAUGUCCGAGCAAGCAAACGAUAUAACAAGAACAAUAUCCUUAAGUCUUAAGAACAAGUAAGUUAUGAAAAUAUCCAGACAUCAUCGCAACACUUAUGCAAAAAUUCUGCCACAUUGCCUUUAUUUCCCCAAAACAUAAACGAAUAAAUAACACCUAUGAAAUAAUGCUAAGUCUUGCUUAGAUCACUCCCUUGGAACCACACCGCUCACACUGUUCACACAACUAAUCUGCAAUGGUUUAAAAGGGAGUGCGUGAGUUUUACAAGCUCAGAAAGCUCAGUGAAUGAUUAGAAUAACUAACACGUAAACAUGUCAUCAUAAUUAUUGAAACAACCAUUCAACACAAUUACAACAUUUCAUACUUUAGUACCAUAUUACAUAUUCCUGCAUUAGUCAUUGGUUCAUUUACAUAGUAAUCGCAUACACAUUUAGGCAUAUAUUACAUUACACAUAAUCACAUUUAAAGAUAAUUUGGCACUGGAGUUAUGAAACAUAGAAGUGGACUUCAUCACCAUACAUUGGAUACACUGAUCUCCAACACACAAAAUGACUCAUAGAGUCGAACAUAUCCUCAAAAGUGUAGCAUACAGCUAGCACUCUCUAACACACCAAACAUGUCCUGGUGAAUGGAGCUUAGCUCACAUUCCCUUAUCUCUCCAAUUUGUCUCGAGCCUUAACGCCCCAAAAAUACAACACAAAAGUGAGUACUCACAAUCCUAUGGCAUGGCAACUAUAUCUGACGGUCUCAUAAGGUCACAAGGCCAAAAUAUUCGUUACUAAAAACACAUAUUACUUACUAUUUUCUGCACUUUUUUAUUGCAUAUUCACAUCAUAAGCAUAACAUAAUUUCUGUCGUUUGACAUGCAUAACACAUCCACAUUUCCACUUUCAUAAUAAUCAUCACAAGCAUAUAACAUAUGCCAUGGCAUCGCAUUUUAGUUCUCAUUUUCACAACACAUAAGCACAUAUUUCACAAUAUAAACAUGGGUAUGAGAAAACUUACACUCGAAAUUUAGAGUAGGGGUUUAGGCUACUAUUAAAUUCCCAAUUAACACAAUGAAUUGUGUCUACAAGCAGCGAUUCCAAACACUCACCAAUUACGUUUUCAUCGAGACGCCGAAAGCUCAAACUAAUAUUUCCUUAACUCGUAGAAGGUUCUAACAAAUCUGAAGCUUCAACACAAUAAAUCACACAACAUACAAUCAACAAUCAGCUAAGGACUCACCUCAAGCAAUCCAAAUACAAGCCUAAGCUAAGUUCUCAUGUAACCAAAACCUUCGACACAGUAAACUUGAGAUUCACAUAUCUCAGACCAUACUUAAUAUUUUUUCCUAAAACUAAUUUCGUUCAUCUAAUUAUUCACCUACAAAAUAUUCUCAACCUUUAAACUACGCAAAACUAUCUAAUUCAUUGUAUCGAAAGUUUUUAACAUGUUAUGGCAAUUUUCACGAAAAUUCAUUAAAUCCUUAGAAAUCUUUAACAAAACUUUAAAGUAAGCUUAUAAACCUCCUAAUAUCAUCAAAACUAAUUGAAAAACACUUUGAAACCAUGUUUUUACUCAAAAUCCCAAAAUCCACCAUUAACGAUCCAAUUUUUAACUUUUAUUUAGAAUAUGCGAUUUAAUGGUUAAAAACUCAGUUUAAAGGAUCAAAUAACAUAAAAAAAACUAAUAAGGAAUCGACUCUGUAACAGCCUGAUUUUAGGCCUAGUCGGAACAGUGGUUUUGGGACCACAAAUCCGACGAGGGAAAAUAUAAUAAUAAUUAUUUUUUAUGGUCUACAAUUUCACUAAAAAAUUUCGUGAAAAUUUCGUUCGAAAAUUUUGACGUUUGGGCACUCAAUUUAGCCAAAAGGACUAAAUUGUAAAAACUGAAAAAGUUGAGUUCUACAUGUUAGAAGUGUUCAAUUGUUAUGAAAUUUGAAAUUGGAGGUCCUUAAAUGGUAAUUAGACCAUUGGUUAAAUUGUGGACAAAAAUGGACAUGAGAUAAGUGAAAUAGGAAAUUUUUAAGUUAGGGGCAUUUUGGUAAUUUGGUAAUUAAAAAGUAUUAAAAAGACAAAAUAGGCCAAAAAUCAUCAUCUUCAACCUCAUGGCUGAAAUUAGCAAGGGCGAAGCCAUGGUUAGGGUUUUCAAGCUUCCAAGCGCGAUUAUCAAGAAAGACGAGAAGUCAACCUUAAUCGGGGUAAAUAGAAUAUUGAGGAUUAAUUCCAAAAUCUUUACAUUUUGUAUCGAGGUAAGUUGUAUGUAAUUAAUACAUUGUUAUAAUUAUUUUUGUUAUAUUUCUUGACAAUAUAUGCGAAAGGGUUGGAUAUUAAAUAGUUAUAUUAAAGUUAGAAAUUUGAAAUUGAUAGUUGAUUUGUUUAAAAUCAGCUUGAUUUAUGGAUAUACCAACUGCAAGUAAUGGUUGAAGUGAUUUAAAUCGAAUUAUUAAAUUGGUUAUGGAGUUGAGUGGAAAGAUUGAUAUUAUAAUGUGCUAUGGAGAAAUUGUAAAUUAUUGGAAAGUAAGAAUCUUUGUGGAACUGUCGGAAUGGUAAAGAUUUGAAUAAGGUAUCGAUGAACAUGUGUGUAGUACUGUGUGAAGGCUACUACAUGAAUCAAUAAAUGAUGGUCACAUGUGUAGUACUAAGUGAAGGCUACUAUGUGUAUCGAAAAGCUUUGGUCACUUGUGUAGUACUAUGUGAAGGCUACUACGUGUAUCGAAUGAUAAAAGUAACAUGGGUAGUACUGUGUGAAAAACCCCAAAUAUUUGUUGUUAUACCGACAUGUUCAAUGAGAUAUGAGUAUGUGAUUGGAACGUGAUAAGUUGCAAAAGAGUGCCUGAAGUGAUGAAGUCUUGUAUUGUGUUAUAAAAUAAAUGGUUAUAGUGAUACAUGAAUGAGGGAUGUGUGGAAUUGAAUUGAAUAUUGACUUGAAAAUGGCAAAGUGAAUUUUGAAUUGAAUAGUGAUUGAAAGUGAAAAAGUGAAAUUAUGAAAAAGUAGAAUUAGCAACAAAACAGUUUUGGACUGCAACAAUCAUGUGACUUUGAAAAAUCACCAAAAAUAGUGGAAAUAUAAUUAGAGAGUGAAUAAGAUAUGAAAUGAAAGCUUAGUGAGUCUAUUUUUACAUAAAAGAAACAGAGCAAGCAAAAGAGUUAUAUACUUUGAGAUAUUUGAAUUUUAGUGAGAUAGAGAUUGAUUGAUUUCGGAAUCCCCUGUUCUAAUUUUGGAAAAUCAUUAAAAAUUGUACAAAAAUAAUUAUGAAUUAUAAUUUAUAUGCUUAGAAUCCUUAAUGAGUCUAUUUUCAAGAGAAACAAUUUGGAUUCUGUGCAAUUAGAUAAUUAAUAUUUAGUGAAGAGUGGUCAGAACUGUCAGACUGCGUAAUAAGGUAAACUUUAAACAGUAAAAUGUACUAUGUGGCUAAAUAAAAAAUUCUAAAAAUUUUAUGGUAAGAAGAUAUGUGAGUCUAGUUUCAGGGAAAGUUAACGGUUCUUAAUUUGGAGUUCUGUAGCUCCAUAUAAAAAUAAUUUAGUGAUACUGACUCGGAUGAACAGCUUUGAAUAUACAUAAGGGUGAAUAAAGAAACUAUAGAAAAUGUUAUUUCUAAGAAUGUUAAGUACACUAAGGAUGUGGAAUGGAGAGGAGGAGAAGGAAAAUUAUACAUAUAUAUGAAUGAUUUAUGUAUAAUUGGUUAUAUGAUCGAUUAUAAUCGAUAAACAUGGAAAUAGUAAUGAUGCAUACAUUUGUAUGUUAAUGAUCAUGGUUGAAGCUCAUAUUGUAAAAUAAAGUUUCAUAGUAUUUAUGUAUGAUAUAUUUGGUAUAUGAUUUUGUAUGAAGUAAGGCCAUGAAUGGUGUAUGGAUUAAAUGCACUAGCUUGCGACUAUGGUUGAAUGAUAUGUUAUUGUUUUGUGUAAUAUUCGUAGGAAAUGGGUGUGGAAAGGAAAUGAAAUACUAAGUUCAUACUUGAAGAAUAAAAUGACGAAAAAGAGGAUGAUGAGUUGAUUCGAUGUUGUUAUUUAAGCUUAAGUGAUGUUUGCAUUGCAAUACUAAGAAUUUUAUAAAUGUGUUAAUG